AAUAGCUACUUGCAUCAUUGUAGAUAUGAUGCAAGAUCGACUAUGUCGAAUAAAAUUCUAGGUAGAAUUAUGAUAAUGACAUUGUCUGCCUAUGUGUCUUGACCAAAUUACGUGCCAGCAGUCGCGGUAAUACGUAGAAGACUAGUGUUAUUCAUGUGUAAUCGGUUUAAAGGGUACCUAGACGGUAAAUCAAGCCUAUAAAAAAUAUAAAGGAAGGGACUAAUUUACUAGAGUUACUUAUGAGGGGGUAUUAAAGUACUACUGGUGUAGAGAUGAAAUUCUGUCAUACCAGCAAAACGACGGCACAGGUAUAGGCGAAAGCAUCCCCUUAUGUGAUAACUGACGUUGAGGGACGAAGGCUUUGUGUAGCGACCAGGAUUAGAUACCCCAGUAGUCAAAGCAGAAAAUGAUGAAUGUCAUAGAUUAGAUAUAUAAGUUUAUUCUAUAAAUGAAAGUGUAAGCAUUCCACCUCAAGAGUAAUUUGGCAACAUUGGAACUGAAAUCAUUAGACCGUUUCUGAAACCAGUAGUGAAGUAUGUUGUUUAAUUUGAUGGCCCGCAAAAAACCUUACCACAAUUUGAAUAUUUAUAUCUUUUAUUGUUUUUCUUCUGAUUUUUCUUCUGAUUUUACUUCUGAUUUUACUUCAAAUGAAGUAAAAGAAAGAAGUAAAAGAAAGAAGAAAAAUAAAAAGAGGCAAUAAG
rnacentral:rRNA from 1 species